rfam:Capsicum annuum cultivar Zunla-1 chromosome 5, whole genome shotgun sequence
AUGUUAUGCUUCGGACACUGUGUCAACUUCUUCUUGAACCUCUCCCAAGUUUCAUGUAAAACCUUAUUCGGGAGCUGUCUAAAAUUGUUGAUCUCAUCCCUCAACUU